CAAUGAGCUGCGAUGCCGUGAGGUGGAGCGAAUCUCAAAAAGCCGGUCUCAGUUCGGAUUGGGGUCUGCAACUCGACCCCAUGAAGUCGGAGUUGCUAGUAAUCGCAGAUCAGCACUGCUGCGGUGAAUACGUUCCCGGGCCUUGUACACACCGCCCGUCACGUCACGAAAGUCGGUAACACCCGAAGCCGGUGGCCCAACCCCCUUGUGGGGAGGGAGCUGUCGAAGGUGGGACUGGCGAUUGGGACGAAGUCGUAACAAGGUAGCCGUACCGGAAGGUGCGGCUGGAUCACCUCCUUU
rnacentral:ncRNA from 1 species